UGUGGUUAUUAUAGCAAAGAGGAUACACCUGUUCCCAUUCCGAACACAGAAGUUAAGCUCUUUAGCGCCGAUGGUACUUGGUGGGAAGCCGCCUGGGAGAGUAGGACGUAGCCGCGU
rnacentral:rRNA from 1 species